AAAAUACAUGUUUUAUAUGUAUUUGUGUGUGUGUUUCCUUCUAUUGGAAGAAGGUUGGAUUUUGUUGUGAAUCCGUGGUCGAUCGAGAUGAAUCGUAAGUGUAGCUUUGUUAUCUCCGAGGUGCUGAUCGCACUGGUGCAAUCUGUUCGCAAAUCUGACGGACGGAUCUGCGGAGAUCGCGCGUUGAUCGAGGAGAGGUCAGGGAUGGCAAAACGGUAAUUUCGCGAAAGUCGCGAUAUUUUA
rnacentral:lncRNA from 1 species